UCCUACGGGGGGCAGCAGUGAGGAAUAUUGGUCAAUGGGCGCGAGCCUGAACCAGCCAAGUCGCGUGAGGGAAGACGGUCCUAUGGAUUGUAAACCUCUUUUGUCGGGGAGCAAAAGACGCCACGUGUGGCGUUCCGAGAGUACCCGAAGAAAAAGCAUCGGCUAACUCCGUGCCAGCAGCCGCGGUAAUACGGAGGAUGCGAGCGUUAUCCGGAUUUAUUGGGUUUAAAGGGUGCGCAGGCGGAUUUUUAAGUCAGCGGUCAAAUCGUGGUGCUCAACCCCAUCCAGCCGUUGAAAUUGGGGAU
rnacentral:rRNA from 1 species